rnacentral:rRNA from 1 species
AGUGAACGCUGGCGGUAGGCCUAACACAUGCCAGUCGAACGGCAGCACAGUAAGAGCUUGCUCUUACGGGUGGCGAGUGGCGGACGGGUGAGGAAUACAUCGGAAUCUACUUUUUCGUGGGGGAUAACGUAGGGAAACUUACGCUAAUACCGCAUACGACCUACGGGUGAAAGCAGGGGAUCUUCGGACCUUGCGCGAUUGAAUGAGCCGAUGUCGGGUUAGCUAGUUGGCGGGGUAAAGGCCAACCAAGGCGACGAUCCGUAGCUGGUGUGAGAGGAUGAUAGGCCACACUGGAACGGGGACACGGUCCAGACGCCUACGGGAGGCAGCAGUGGGGAAUAUUGGACAAUGGGCGCAAGCCUGAUCCAGCCAUACCGCGUGGGUGAAGAAGGCCUUCGGGUUGUAAAGCCCUCUUGUUGGGAAAGAAAAGCAGCAGGUUAAUACCCCGCUGUUCUGACGGUACCCAAAGAAUAAGCACCGGCUAACUUCGUG